CUCUACCCCAUUCUAAAAUAUUUGUUUAACAAUUUUCAGCCUCUGCAAGAAGCAAAUAGAAAAAAAUAUCUGAAUGCGUCAAGAAGUAGCUCGGGGUCAAGUGAAAACAGAUGACUCUAUCGCGGUCAAGAACAUGUGGGUUCCCAACCGCAGAUUGUAGUAGAGAUGGAUGAAUUCAAAGACACCUGUCCCUCUUUUUGGGACUCCCUCUUCUCCCGUCUUAACUCAACCAGGAAAAACCAGGACCAGCUGUGGCUCAGAGAUGCAGUCAAGUGACAUACAUCACUUUUUACACCUCUUCCCUUAACCAAGACCAUGGCAAUUGGUCCCAACUGAAGUCGUAACAUGAUGACUACCUGUAUUAUGAACAUUCUCCUUCACCACCAAAUACGCUCCUGAAGAAAUUGCUUUUGGCGUCCAUUUCUUGUCUGGGGGUCAAAGUCAGGAAAAUGCUUCCAGAAAUUUGAAUGUCACGCAGGAUGAUCGUGCCCUGCAAGUUUCUGCCCUGAGUACCUGGCAUGUUAAGAAAGAACACCUCAAGAGCGCCCAGGGGAAAGACAUCAAGCGUGCUUUGGCCAACGGCCUUGCCAGCCAAGUUGAUACCUUCCAUCUGCCCAAAUGUCCACCCAUCCAUUGAUGAUGAAGUAAAAGAUGAUUCGGGAUCUGGAGGCUAAGUCUUACGACGAUUGAACUAGGCGUGUCUAGCCUAACCAAGAAAAGGAUUAGGAGUGUCAUGAUAGCUGUCUGCCAAUAGUUGAGGGGCUGCCAGAGAGAAAAGGGGGAUGGCCUAUUCUCCAAAGCAUCUGGAACAGGAUAAGAAGUAACCAACCGAAAAUCAUCAUGGAGGGAUCCAAGCUAGAAUGAUGGAUAAAUUUCCUGAUAGUGAGAACAAUGAAUCAGUGGAAAGGCUUGCCUCAGGCUAAUUGGAGAAUGUGAUU